rnacentral:pre_miRNA from 1 species
CUGUGGAAACCCGUAGAUCCGAACUUGUGCUGCAUUGUACACUGAACGCAAGAACGGAUAUACGGGAUUCUGUCGA